ACCUUUGAGUCCAUUGGUC
rnacentral:piRNA from 1 species